rnacentral:tRNA from 1 species
AAAAGUUUAGUUAAUAAAUAACAUUAACUUGUCAAGUUAAAAUAAUUAAAAUUUUAAUAAUUUUUA